ensembl:snoRNA
GAGCAGUGAUGAACUGUUUUCACUACUGACCUUUAUAAUCAUGAAGGUUUCUACACUUGAUCUGAGCUCA